GCCCGGCUAGCUCAAUCGGUAGAGCGUGAGACUCUUAUCCACGGGUUCUCUCCAGUGUACAUCUCAAGGUUGUGGGUUCGACCCCCACGUCGGGCU